rnacentral:rRNA from 1 species
UACAGAGGGUGCGAGCGUUGUUCGGAAUUAUUGGGCGUAAAGGGCGCGUAGGCGGUGCGGUAAGUCACCUGUGAAAUCUCCUGGCUCAACUGGGAGCUUGCAGGCGAAACUGCCGUGCUGGAGUGUGGGAGAGGUGAGUGGAAUUCCCGGUGUAGCGGUGAAAUGCGUAGAUAUCAGGAGGAACACCUGUGGCGAAAGCGGCUCACUGGACCACAACUGACGCUGAGGCGCGAAAGCUAGGGGAGCAAACAGG